CCUACGGGGUGCAGCAGUGGGGAAUAUUGGGCAAUGGGCGCAAGCCUGACCCAGCAACGCCGCGUGAAGGAAGAAGGCUUUCGGGUUGUAAACUUCUUUUGUCAGGGAAGAGUAGAAGACGGUACCUGACGAAUAAGCCACGGCUAACUACGUGCCAGCAGCCGCGGUAAUACGGAGGUGGCAAGCGUUGUCCGGAUUUACUGGGUGUAAAGGGCGUGUAGCCGGGUUGACAAGUCAGAUGUGAAAUCCUGCGGCUUAACCGCAGAACUGCAUUUGAAACUGUUGAUCUUGAGUACUGGAGAGGCAGGCGGAAUUCGUGGGGUAGCGGGGAAGUGAUAAGAUAUAAAGAGGAACAC
rnacentral:rRNA from 1 species